AGUGAACGCUGGCGGUAGGCCUAACACAUGCAAGUCGAACGGCAGCACAGGAGAGCUUGCUCUCUGGGUGGCGAGUGGCGGACGGGUGAGGAAUACAUCGGAAUCUACUUUUUCGUGGGGGAUAACGUAGGGAAACUUACGCUAAUACCGCAUACGACCUACGGGUGAAAGCAGGGGAUCUUCGGACCUUGCGCGAUUGAAUGAGCCGAUGUCGGAUUAGCUAGUUGGCGGGGUAAAGGCCCACCAAGGCGACGAUCCGUAGCUGGUCUGAGGGGAUGAUCAGCCACACUGGAACUGAGACACGGUCCAGACUCCUACGGGAGGCAGCAGUGGGGAAUAUUGGACAAUGGCGCAAGCCUGAUCCAGCCAUACCGCGUGGGUGAAGAAGGCCUUCGGGUUGUAAAGCCCUUUUGUUGGGAAAGAAAUCCAGCUGGCUAAUACCCGGUUGGGAUGACGGUACCCAAAGAAUAAGCACCGGCUAACUUCGUGCCAGCAGCCGCGGUAAGAC
rnacentral:rRNA from 1 species